rnacentral:rRNA from 1 species
GAUGAACGCUAGCUAUAGGCUUAACACAUGCAAGUGAGGGACCGGCGCACGGGUGAGUACGCGUAUCCAACCUGCCCUUUACUUGGGGAUACCCGUUGAAAGACGGACUAAUACCCAAUGGUAUAGGAUGGGGAUGCGUCUGAUUAGCUUGUUGGUGGGUAACGGCUCACCAAGGCAACGAUCAGUAGGGGUUCUGAGAGGAAGGUCCCCCACAUUGGAACUGAGACACGGUCCAAACUCCUACGGGAGGCAGCAGUGAGGAAUAUUGGUCAAUGGACGAGAGUCUGAACCAGCCAAGUAGCGUGCAGGAGACGGCCUAUGGGUUGUAAACUGCUUUUGUUUGGGAAUAUGUACCAUUCGAAUAAGGACCGGCUAAUUCCGUGCCAGCCGCCGCGGUAAUAC